AGCAAUGCCGCGUUUGCAGGAAGAAGGCCUUCGGGUUGUAUAACCGCGUUUUGUUCGGAACGAAACGGCUCCUCGGUCACUACCCGGGGCUAUGACGGUAUACCGUAAGAAUAAGCACCGGCUAUACUCACGUCGCCAGCAGUCCGUCAGUAAAUUACC
rnacentral:rRNA from 1 species